UACGUAGGCAGCGAGCGUUGUUCGGAGUUACUGGGCGUAAAGGGUGUGUAGGCGGUUGUUUAAGUUUGGUGUGAAAUCUCAGGGCUCAACCCUGAAACUGCACUCGAUACUGCUCUGCUUGAGGACUGGAGAGGAGACUGGAAUUCACGGUGUAGCAGUGAAAUGCGUAGAUAUCGUGAGGAAGACCAGUGGCGAAGGCGGGUCUCUGGACAGUUCCUGACGCUGAGGCGCGAAGGCCAGGGGAGCAAACGGG
rnacentral:rRNA from 1 species